rnacentral:rRNA from 1 species
CAUGCAAGUCGAACGCGUGUAGCAAUACACGAGUGGCGAAAGGGCGAGGAAUAGAUUCCUACGUACCCCGGAGUCAGGGAUAACCAUCGGAAACGGUGGCUAACACCUGAUGAUCUCGAAAGAGCAAAGUUUACGCUCUGGGAGCGGGGAAUCUCCUAUCAGCUAGUUGGUGAGGUAACGGCUCACCAAGGCUAAGACGGGUAGCGGGUGUGAGAGCACGGCCCGCCGCAUCGGGACUGAGACACUGCCCGGACUCCUACGGGAGGCUGCAGUAACGAAUCUUCCGCAAUGCACGAAAGUGUGACGGGGCAAUGCCGCGUGUGGGAUGAAGCCCUUCGGGGUGUAAACCACUGUCAGGGUCUAGGAACACAAUGACCAUACCCAAAGGAAGCACCGGCUAACUCUGUGCCAGCAGCCGCGGUAAUACAGAGGGUGCGAGCGUUAAUCGGAAUCACUGGGCUUAAAGGGUCCGUAGGCGGGACUGCAGGCGUCGAGUGAAAUACCACGGCUCAACCGUGGAACUGCUCGGCGAACCGCAGUUCUUGAGGCGAGUAGAGGCGAUCAGAACGAUAGGUGGAGCGGUGAAAUGCGUAGAUAUCUAUCGGAAUGCCAAAGGUGAAGACAGGUCGCUGGGCUCGUCCUGACGCUGAGGGACGAAAGCGUGGGGAGCAAACGGGAUUAGAUACCCCGGUAGUCCACGCCGUAAACAAUGCGCACUGGGUCGGGGAGGUUUGACGCCUUCCUGGCCGAAGCAAAAGUGUUAAGUGCGCCGCCUGGGGAGUACGGUCGCAAGGCUAAAACUCAAAUGAAUUGACGGA